rnacentral:rRNA from 1 species
GACGAACGCUGGCGGCGUGCUUAACACAUGCAAGUCGAACGAUGAAAGCUGGAGCUUGCUCCGGCUGGAUUAGUGGCGAACGGGUGAGUAACACGUGAGUAACCUGCCCUUGACUCUGGGAUAACCGCCGGAAACGGUGGCUAAUACCGGAUACGAGCUUCAGUCGCAUGACUAGGAGCUGGAAAGAAUUUCGGUCAAGGAUGGACUCGCGGCCUAUCAGCUAGUUGGUGAGGUAACGGCCCACCAAGGCGACGACGGGUAGCCGGCCUGAGAGGGUGACCGGCCACACUGGGACUGAGACACGGCCCAGACUCCUACGGGAGGCAGCAGUGGGGAAUAUUGCACAAUGGGCGAAAGCCUGAUGCAGCAACGCCGCGUGAGGGACGACGGCCUUCGGGUUGUAAACCUCUUUUAGUAGGGAAGAAGCGAAA